GGAGGCACUGAAACACAAGUCAACGCCAUGGUUCUUAGCCCAUUGCUCUGCCUUCAAUUGCCUCUUUUCUCCAACUUGCAGACAAGAAAACAGAACAACAACAACAAAAAGAGUUGAGAAUAAAGUCCUCCUGUAACAGAACCUCAUCUUUGAUACUCAAAUGGAACUUUAGGGUUCGAGGGACGGAGCUAGAAAUUUCUUCUAGUGGGGGCAACCCGAAAAUCAACUAAGGAAACCUUAUUAUAGUAUGGCUUAUACCCAAUAUGAUAAGUGAUAAGAAAAAUAUUAAUACAUGAUUACGUAAGAGAGAGGUUUUUCAAUCUGAAUGACAGAACAAGAGCACUUUUACUCAUAUAAUAUUUGAUAUGGAGUAUAUGCAGUAUGAAGGUAUGUUAGAUAUUAGUUACAUAUAUUUUCUUCAAAGAUAACGCGUGUAUAUUAUAUAAUUGUAGUCUGCAACUUAAUAAACGAAUCACUUGAGUAGGAGCAUAUGCCUCCGGUGAGCCUUCAUUGGCUCCUUCCACAUGUGGUAACGUUUUACAGACCCAGUUUCGGGAAAAUUGCUUUGGAAAGUGAAAAUGAGUUUUCACAGUAGUUUGUAAUAAGGAAAUGGAAUCUGAGAUGAAGUGUGGUGGAGGUGAGACCUGUUAUCUACGACUCUAUAAAUUUCAAAUUGCUCAUGCCCUUGACUAGUACAUAAGCUAUAAUGUUAAUUCGGAGCUUGAAAUUGACUUGGGCCAAUGGAACAAGGUUCAACCAUGGCAUGGCGGUCCAUAUGGAAUGAAUCAAUACACACUAACUUGAACGCCAAACAAUGACACAUUGUAGUUUGGGUGCAAAGCAAUAGUUCAAAUUUUAAUAGUCGCCUAUGAGAAAGACAUGAUGAGCUUAGGUGGGGGAAUACACCUUACAAGAACACGAUGAUUGUUAUACUUAGACAGGGAUGUAUCAUAUAGCCGCCGUGACAUAUGCAAGAAUCCGCCUUGAAUUACAAGGCAUAUAGAAGAAGAAUUAAAAAGUAGACUUUUUGGUGGUUGAUGCAAGCCCUGAGGAAAGCAUAACGCAGAGAGUCAAAUUCAAACAAUAUUUUUAACACAGUAGGGGAAUAGAAGUCACUCCUCAGCUGGUUUUAACACGACUGAACAAAUUUCCUUUUUCUUGAUUUUGAUUGAGUCGUUUACGAGUCUUG
rnacentral:lncRNA from 1 species